GGGUCUCCUCCUGCCAUGGUUGCAGAGGUCAUAGUGACAGUGGGUUGUUCCUUGCCAGUUCAACUCACCCAUUUUCCUGGAGCCAUUGGAGGACAGGAAUGAGUCUGGAUGUGCUGUAGCCCCAUGUAGGGCUCCCAGCUUUCUCCCACUUCAGUCCAGCUUCUGUGUCUUCCCUCUGUCCACUCUAGGUGCCUUCUGUCUGAACAUCUGUUAGGAGCACGCCAGUCAUCUGGGUUCCUCAUUGAGAACUGUUUCACCUGGCUGCAUCUAGUCAGCGAUCUUGCCCUCCCCCCAACCAAGAUACAUUCCAAUAAAACUUGUGGAUACUAAAGAAAAAGAAAAUACCAUCUGGAUACUCAGCAAAAGUAGCAAUGACUUAUUAAUAAUUAGAUUAUCAUCAGACUUUUUGAUAGCAGUUAUGUGAAAAUGUAGUAACUUUUUAAGAUACUCAAGAGCGGAAAAUGGAACCAAGAUUUUUAUAGCCACAAAACUGACUUUCGACUAUGAAGUGCAAGAACUUCCUGGUGUGGACUGUAUAUGCCGUCCCAAAAUUCAUAUGAUGAAAUCGUAACGCCCAAGGUGACAGUACCAGGAGGUGACGCCUUUGGAAGGUGAUUAGGUCAUGAGGGUGCAGCCCUUAUGAAUGGCAUUAGGGCCCUUAUAAGGGAGAUUCCAGAUAGCUCCCUUUCCUUCUGCCACAUGAGGUCUUAGUGAGAAGAUGCUGCCAGCAGGCCUUCACCAGAACCCUACCAGGCUGACACACUGAUCUCAGACCUCCAGCCUCCAGAACUGUGAAAAAUACAUUUCUGCUGUUUUUAAGCCAUCCAGUCUCUGGUAGUUGGUUAUAGCAGCUCAUACAAACUAAGACACUUUCCUAAGUCUUCCUGAGGCACCUAGGAGAAAUAGUUUCAAACAAUCAUGAUGACUACAUCAGUAGCUUAUAAUUCUUUUGAUAUCAGGAUCCCUUUUUAUUCAUAAAAUUGUUGAGAACACCAAGAAGCUUUAGUUUACAUGGGUUAUGUAAAGUGACAUUUAUAUUAAUUUAUUUGUUAUUAAAUAACAAUAACAAACCCAUUACAUGUUAACAUAAACAACACACUUUUAUGGAAAAUAGCUGUCUUCUCCAGCACAAAAAAAUAGUGAAAAAAAAGGAAUUAUUUUACAUUUGUAAAAAUCUCUUUAAUGUCUGGCUUAAUAAAGCUAGCUUGGUUAUAUAUUCUUCUACAUUCAAGCUGUAACAAUAUGUUGUUUUGGCUAAAGCACAAGAGGAAAAUCUGGCCUCACUCUUAUACACAGUUGGGAAAAGAAGGAAAGUUUCCAUAACCAUUUCAGCUAUCGUAACUGUUCUUCCUUGAUAAGACACCAAAACUCAAGAAAUGGCAGAUUCUUAAAGGUUAGUUGCAGUGUGGAAUCUGAAACCUUAUAUAUUAACUUUUCAUAUUCUGUUGUGUUAAAAUUCACUAGUCUAUCUUUAAAUGGAUCUUUAUGCAUGACUUUGCAAUAUCAUGCAUUGAUUAUUUGUAAAUUAUUGAUUCAUGGGUUUACGCAGAUUUUUAAAAUGUUGACAUAUUUUAUUAAACAAUAUUUUUUAAGCCAUAUUUGUUAAUAUCACCACCAAUCUCAUCAGAAACAUCUUUAAGUAGUGAGAAGCUGUGGCACACGUAAGUUUUCCAAAAUUUUAAUUUUCUCUUGAAAUUCCAAUUUCCACUGUCAAUAUUAUUUUCUUUGAUGGGAUAGGCUCAUUUUGUUUAUUUUUGAGAAAAUUUCUACCAAAUACCCAAGUCUGAAUAAUCACAGUGUGCCUUUCAGUCAUUCUUUCAAGGAAAAUGAUGACCCACUAAAAAAAAAAUGUUUAACUUCACUCACAACUCAUGCAAUUACAUAAUGGCUUUUCCACAGGACAACUGCCUUUCCAUCAGUAUGCACCAGAAAUGCUGCCUAUGUUCUUACACUGACUAUUAAACAGAUGUGUGCUUGAGGUUUAAAAUUUAGUAAACUAAUGAUUUUAUUGCUUCAUCAAGGUCACUGGCUUUUGCUUUUUUUUUUUUUUUUUUUUUUACUGUAAGCUUAUGGCAGUGAAGAACAUGACCUACCUGUACAGCUUGGUGUCACCACCUUGAUUUGUGCUCAGGCACUAACAGUUUCACGUGACCACCAUAGAUUUCUGUACCAAUAUGUAAAUAAUACAGUGAAAAAGGCAAAUAACAUCUUAGUAUUAGUACAAAAAUAGCUUGACUUCAUAGGCCCCUUGAAGGGUCCCAGGGACCCCCAGGAAUCCAUGGACCACACCUUGAAAACCACCACAUGACAGGGAUAUCAACAUAAGGAAUGAUGGUGAGCAUUAAACAUAUCUCUACUCACAGAACUAAGACUAACAAGGGAGCAAGUAGUCUAUGCAAUGGUACAGGAUCAACUAAUAUAGACAUAGUUCAACUAGAAAGCGGGGGAGAACAUAGGUAAAAAGGGAGAACACAGGUAAUAGGGAGAAUGUAGGUAAAAAGAAUUUCAACCGUUUUCAGUAGCCAUUUUGGUGGUUGUGUAUGAGUGUUAUUAUCCUUAGACUGCUGUCUAUGUUAACUCAGGAAAAGCAAAUAAGUAUGGACAUUCUAAUUGUGUCUGUCCCUGUGUCCUUGAAAACCAGAGUUCUUGGUAUAAAAGAAAGGAGAUGCAGAAGUAAUAUAGAGAAGACUGAUUUUUUUUUAAGAUGGAGUAUUGCUCUGUCACCAGGCCGCAGUGCAGUGGUACAAUCUUGGCUCACUGUAACCUCCACCUCCCAAGUUCAAGCGCUUCUCUUGCCUCAGCCUCCCGAGUAGCUGGGACUACAGGCGCGUGCCACCACACCCAGCUAAUUUUUGUAUUUUUAGUAGAGACGGGAGUCAAACACUGAUCCUGCCUUUCCACUGUACCACUAAGUAGCCCACUAGUAAGUGGAGGGAAGUGUCUCUUCACUAGUAAAUGAAGGGAACUGUCUCUUUGUAGCAUUAAUAAAGCAUAUAAAUGAAGAAAAAAUGACAGAAUACCACCAUUUAGCAAUCCCCAAUAAAUUAACAGACCUAAGCAAUUAGUAUCAAUGGUUGCUAACAUCACAAAAAGAAACAGCUGGAAAUUAUGUCUCUCAUGGUGAAAGGCCACAACACCACGUAUAGAUUUUCCAAAGGAAAAGAUUGAACCAGAGUCUGAUCCAGCCUCUGCAUCCAGAUGCCAAUUUGCGGGAGGCACAGAAGGCAGAGGAUGUGUUACACUGCACCAUGUGUACGCAGCCAGCAAAAUCCAGAGUGUGGGAAACUCUACAGGUCAAAUGGAUUGAGCUUUUCAACAGAUUAAUCAUAAGGGGGAAAAAAAGGCUGAUGGGGGAGAAACCAGUGAAGUAUGAGAGACGUAAAAGACAACUAAGCUGUGGCGUCCAGGAACACAUACCUGGGGGACUAGACUACAAAGACAUGAAAGAGGUUACAAUAAAAUCAGGAUAUGGUCACUUUCGAGGGGAAGGAGAGGCUUUGAUUGGCCUGACGUACAGAGACUUCCGCUGGAGCUGGCAAAGUCCUGUUCCUUGACUUGAUUACAGGGGUUUUUCUUAAAUAAUUCA
rnacentral:lncRNA from 10 species